rnacentral:rRNA from 1 species
GACGAACGCUGGCGGCGUGCUUAACACAUGCAAGUCGAGCGGAAAGGCCACUUCGGUGGUACUCGAGCGGCGCACGGGUGAGUAACACGUGAGUAAUCUGCCCCUGGCUUUGGGAUAGCCACCGGAAACGGUGAUUAAUACCGGAUAUGACACAUUCUCGCAUGAGUUUGUGUGGAAAGUUUUUCGGCCAGGGAUGUGCUCGCGGCCUAUCAGCUUGAUGGUGAGGUAAUGGCUCACCAUGGCUUCGACGGGUAGCCGGCCUGAGAGGGUGACCGGUCACACUGGGACUGAGACACGGCCCAGACUCCUACGGGAGGCAGCAGUGGGGAAUAUUGGACAAUGGGCGGAAGCCUGAUCCAGCAACGCCGCGUGAGGGAUGACGGCCUUCGGGUUGUAAACCUCUUUCAGUACCGACGAAGCGCAAGUGACGGUAGGUACAGAAGAAGCACCGGCCAACUACGUG